rnacentral:rRNA from 1 species
UACGAAGGGGGCUAGCGUUGCUCGGAAUUACUGGGCGUAAAGCGCACGUAGGCGGCUUUCUAAGUCGGGGGUGAAAUCCUGGAGCUCAACUCCAGAACUGCCUUCGAUACUGGAGAGCUCGAGUCCGGGAGAGGUGAGUGGAACUGCGAGUGUAGAGGUGAAAUUCGUAGAUAUUCGCAAGAACACCAGUGGCGAAGGCGGCUUACUGGUCCGGUUCUGACGCUGAGGCGCGAAAGCGUGGGGGAGCAAACAGG